GUCCCUGUGGCUCAGUUGGUAGAGCAUGGUGUUUGCAACGCCAGGGUUGUGGGUUCAAUUCCCACGGGGGGCC
rnacentral:tRNA from 1 species